GGGCUGAUAGUGUAGUGGUAGCAUACCUGCUUCGGGUGCAGGUGGUCGCGGGUUCAAACCCCGCUCGGCCCC